ACUCAAAUGAAUUGACGGGGGCCCGCACAAGCAGCGGAGCGUGUGGUUUAAUUCGAUGCAACGCGCAGAACCUUACCAGGGCUUGACAUCCAUCUUACAGCCGCGGAAACGUGGUGGCCGCAAGGCGUGGUGGACAGGUGCUGCAUGGCUGUCGUCAGCUCGUGCCGUGAGGUGUUGGGUUAAGUCCCGCAACGAGCGCAACCCCCGGGCUUAGUUAGCUUCCUAAGCCGACGGCCGGGACCAACCCGGAGGAAGGUGGGGAUGACGUCAAGUCAGCACGGCCCUUACGUCCUGGGCUACACACACGCUACAAUGGCCGGUACAGCGGGCGGAGCGAAGCCGCGAGGCGGAGCCAAUCCCGACAAAGCCGGCCCCAGUGCAGAUCGGGGGCUGCAACUCGCCCCCGUGAAGGCGGAGUUGCUAGUAACCGCGGGUCAGCACACCGCGGUGAAUACGUUCCCGGGCCUUGUACACACCGCCCGU
rnacentral:rRNA from 1 species